AGUCAUGUUGAAGCUCAAAAAGAAAAAGAAUAACUACGCAAGCAAUUUCAUGCACUAAACAAAUAAUUAUUUCAUUAUUUAAUUGUAUUUUAAUUUACAACGUAGUAUUUUACAAUAAACUCGAAAUUCUGUGAUAUGGGUUUAGUAAUUAUUUAAUUGUUGCAAUGGAAACUACAAAAAUUAGAUCUGCAGGUGCCAUUAUUGGCUUAGGAAAUACUGUUACGAUAGAAAAUCGUAGAUUGACAGCAGUCUGCCUUCCAGACUACCAUCAGGCUCUGAGUUUUACUUUGUGGCACAUACAGAAAGAGGUUGGCAAAGGAAAUAUUCCUAUCCUCUUGCUGCAAAUCAAGGAAUACUAAUACUACUGAAAAGGAAAGAUAAAUACGACGCUUACACACAGAGGACAACUGUUUCUUUUUCUGUAACUACGAGAAUGGGAAAUGACUGGCAUGAACAUUGAUUGACUCACGAUCUUAAAUAAUACAUUUAUUAACUUAUCCAAUAUUAUAUGUAUCCCUUAAUUUAAUCAUUUCAUUUUAUGUUCAGACAAACUUACUAGAUUAUUUGUGUUACUUUCGAUAUUCAUUUAGCAUAUAUUUUUUUUACAUUAGUUUAAAAAUAGUUUAUAUUUCAUAUGUAGUUAUAAUAAAAAUACAAGUGAACUAAAGUCAACAGUUAGGUAGAAUAAA
rnacentral:lncRNA from 1 species